rnacentral:rRNA from 1 species
CGAUCAAGUGUCUUAAGGGCAUCUGGUGAAUGCCUUGGCAUGCACAGGCGAUGAAGGACGUGAUACGCUGCGAUAAGCCAUGGGGAGCUGCGAAUAAGCUUUGAUCCGUGGAUUUCCGAAUGGGGCAACCCACCUCCGAGCCUUGGUCAGAUCGGAACGGCACUGGAUGGCGAUGAGCUGUCUGGUGGUGUUGCGGUGACCAAGGUUCAACAGCGAGGUAUCUAACCUUCGAAUACAUAGGGGUUAGAAGCGAACUCGGGGAACUGAAACAUCUAAGUACCCGAAGGAAAGGACAUCAACCGAGACUCCGUUAGUAGUGGCGAGCGAACGCGGACCAGGCCAGUGACCAUCGAAGAAAGAAGCCGAACAGGUUGGAAAGCCUGACAAGAGUGGGUGAUAGUCCCGUAGGCGCAAUGUUCUCGAUGGUCCUCGAGUAGGGCGGGACACGUGAAAUCCUGUCUGAAAUUGGGGGGACCACCCUCCAAGCCUAAGUACUCGUGCAUGACCGAUAGUGAACCAGUACCGUGAGGGAAAGGUGAAAAGCACCCCGACAAGGGGAGUGAAAGAGAACCUGAAACCGGAUGCCUACAAACAGUAGGAGCCCAAGGUUUGUCCUGGGUGACUGCGUACCUUUUGUAUAAUGGGUCAGCGACUUAGUCUGGCGAGCGAGCUUAAGCCGAUAGGUGUAGGCGCAGCGAAAGCGAGUCUGAACAGGGCGUUCAGUUCGUCGGAUUAGACCCGAAACCGAGUGAUCUAGCCAUGAGCAGGUUGAAGGUGCGGUAACACGCACUGGAGGACCGAACCCGCAUCUGUUGCAAUAGAUUGGGAUGACUUGUGGCUAGGGGUGAAAGGCCAAUCAAACUCGGAAAUAGCUGGUUCUCCGCGAAAUCUAUUUAGGUAGAGCGUCGACCGAAUACUCCAGGGGGUAGAGCACUGAAUGGGCUAGGGGGACUCACCGUCUUACCAAACCCAAUCAAACUCCGAAUACCUGGAAGUACUAGUCGGCAGACACACGGCGGGUGCUAACGUCCGUCGUGAAGAGGGAAACAACCCUGACCGACAGCUAAGGUCCCCAAGUUAUGGCUAAGUGGGAAAGGAUGUGAGAAUCCCAAAACAACCAGGAUGUUGGCUUAGAAGCAGCCAUCAUUUAAAGAAAGCGUAACAGCUCACUGGUCUAGAUUUAAGGGUUCUUGCGCCGAAAAUGUAACGGGGCUCAAGCCAUACACCGAAGCUUCGGGUUUACGCCUCUGGCGUAAGCGGUAGCGGAGCGUUCCCUAGGCCGUUGAAGGAGGAUCCGUGAGGACCUCUGGAGGUAUGGGAAGUGCGAAUGCUGACAUGAGUAACGAUAAAGGGUGUGAGAGACACCCUCGCCGAAAGUCCAAGGGUUCCUGCUUAAAGUUAAUCUGAGCAGGGUGAGCCGGCCCCUAAGGCGAGGCCGAAAGGCGUAGUCGAUGGGAACCACGUUAAUAAUCGUGGGCCUGGUGGUGAGUGACGGAUCCCGUGUGUUGUCGACCCUUAUUGGAUUGGGUCGGCUGCGAAGGGGUCCCAG